UGGCUCGCGGCCUAUUAGCUAGUUGGUGGGGUAACGGCCUACCAAGGCAUUGAAGGGUAGCUGGUUUGAGAGGAUGGCCAGCCACAUUGGGAAUGAGAUACGGCCCAGAAUCCUACGGGAGGCAGCAGUGGGGAAUAUUGCGCAAUGGCCGAAAGGCUGACGGAGGGACGCCGCGUGGGGGAUGAAGCACUUCGGUGUGUAAACCCCUGUUGCCCGGGACGAACAACUGGAUUUUUCCAGUCUGACGGUACCGGGUGAGGAAGCACCGGCUAACUCCGUGCCAGCAGCCGCGGUAAUACGGAGGGUGCGAGCGUUGUCCGGAAUCACUGGGCGUAAAGGGCGCGUAGGUGGUCUGGUAAGCGUGCGGUGAAAGCCCGGGGCUCAACCCCGGGUCUGCCGUGCGAACUGGUGGACUAGAGCACUGUAGAGGCAGGUGGAAUUCCGGGUGUAGCGGUGGAAUGCGUAGAGAUCCGGAAGAACCCCGG
rnacentral:rRNA from 1 species